GGGUGUACAACAAUAAGGAAGAGAUCAACAUUCCGUCCAGUCAAGAAGAGGAAAUACUCGGAGAUGAGUUAUUGAAUGAUGAUUCCAACAGUCCUGCAACACAAACUAAAAAUCAAUUAUGUCCAUAUGAGAGUGUCAAGAUGACGGAUAAUGGGAUUCACAUUAAUGAUCAUAAGUCAAAUAAUGAUUUAGAUAUUGUGCCUUUCCCUACUCCUAUUCAGACAGAAGACAUUACAAUGGCAAUACCUCAAUCUCCUAAUGAGGUUCUUCAUAAUAUUCUCACCUAUAAAGAAUCAGAAAUCGGACACCUCCAAUUAUGUGACACAAAUGUUCAAGUAGAGGACCUUUCACCUAGAAGUAUUAAAUCAAUAAAGUUUGCAAAGAAGAAUAAAAAACAAGGUAAUGAAGAAUCUAUUCAACCCAUCAGAUCUCAGCCGAAGAGGCAGGUGACACAUAAAAAAUAAUGUUAUCAAUGAAGGCCCUUAUAUGGAAUAUUAGGUAAAAUGCAUUCCAAAGAGUCUUGAUGUUACAUAAUUUUCACAAGUUCAGUUUUGUUGCUCUGAUGGAACUGUUUCAGCAUGUGGGAGGCUUGAACAGAUAUAAUAGAAGAUUGAAAGUGGCAAAGGGGUAUUCCAAUAGUAGUGGUAAAAUUUGGUUAUUUGUGAAUCAUGGAUUUGAUGUAACAGAAGUGAGAAAUUUUGAGCAACAACUUUCUGUAUUGCUUAGAAAUCAAAAUUCUAAAUCAACAUGUGUUACUAUUAUUUAUGAAAAAUGUGACCUCUAUCAGAGAAUGCAACUAUGGGAAGAUAUUUCCCAAGUAGCUGAUGGUCUGCAAUAUUCAUGGAUAAUAGGAGGGGACUUCAAUGUGUUUCUUAAUGAGGAAGAAAAAAUUGGUGGUCGACCAGUGACAGGGAAUGAGGUUGAAGAUUUUUAAAAUUGUAUUGAAUCUAAUGAGCUAUAUCUUGUUCAAUUUAAAGGCACUCCAUUUACUUGGUGGAAUGGUAGGGCUCGAUGUGAUUGCAUCUUUGAGAGAUUAGAUAGAAUUUUUGUUAAUAAUAUGUUGCAAGACCAAUCCAAUUUCUCAGAAGUGGAACAUCUUUCUAGAACUAGAUCGGAUCAUGCUCCUCUUUUAUUCUCAUGUGAAAAUAGAUAUUCCAGAUUCAUCAAACCUUUUAGGUUCCUGAAUUUUUGGACUAAGCAUAGGGGUUUCAAGGAUGUGAUUAAAUAGAUUUGGGAUGAUGAGUAUUCAACCAACUAUUUUCUGGAUUUCAAGAGGAAGAUUAAGAAAGUAAAGGCUGCUCUUUCUUUAUGGAAUAAGGAAACUUUUGGAGACAUAUUCAAACAACUCAUCAUCAGAGAGGAAAUAGCAAGAAUCAAGGAAAAGCACUUUGAGGAAUUUCCCUAUGCUGAAAAUAUAGUUAUUAUGCAAAGGGCAAAGGAUGAAUAUACUAGAUAUUUGCAUCUAAAGAAGAAAUUUUGGCAACAAAAGGCAGGGUAUGAUUGGUUUGACAGGGGUGAUAAAAACAUAAGAUUCUUUCAUAGCUUGGUGAAAAGGAGAAGACAAAGAAUGAAGGUAACAAGAACUCAAAAUGCACAAGGACAAUGGUUGGAAGAUGAAAAUACAAUGGCUCAGGAGGCAAUAACACACUUUCAAAACCAAUUUCAUCAGGACAGAGAUGCCACUAAUAUCACCUUGCUGGACCACAUACCAUAAUUAAUCUCUGAGGAUGAAAACACUGAGUUGGGGAUUGUUCCAAAUGAAGAAGAAGUGAAAAAUGUUGUUUUUAAUCUUAAUGAGGACAAUUCUAGUGGUACAUAUGGACUUACAUGUAGAUUCUACCAAGUUUGUUGGGACAAUGAUAUUUGUAGAAUGGUGUGUGAGUUUUAUGUGGGCAGCUCCUUACCUAGGUUCAUUACUCAUACUAAUUUGAUUCUCAUUCCCAAAAAGGAUAUCAUUCAGUCCUUUUCAGAUAUGAGACCUAUUAGUCUAACAAAAAGGAUAUCAUUCAGUCCUUUUCAGAUAUGAGACCUAUUAGUCUAACAAAAAGGAUAUCAUUCAGUCCUUUUCAGAUAUGAGACCUAUUAGUCUAACAAAAAGGAUAUCAUUCAGUCCUUUUCAGAUAUGAGACCUAUUAGUCUAACAAAAAGGAUAUCAUUCAGUCCUUUUCAGAUAUGAGACCUAUUAGUCUAACAAAAAGGAUAUCAUUCAGUCCUUUUCAGAUAUGAGACCUAUUAGUCUAACAAAAAGGAUAUCAUUCAGUCCUUUUCAGAUAUGAGACCUAUUAGUCUAACAAAAAGGAUAUCAUUCAGUCCUUUUCAGAUAUGAGACCUAUUAGUCUAACAAAAAGGAUAUCAUUCAGUCCUUUUCAGAUAUGAGACCUAUUAGUCUAACAAAAAGGAUAUCAUUCAGUCCUUUUCAGAUAUGAGACCUAUUAGUCUAACAAAAAGGAUAUCAUUCAGUCCUUUUCAGAUAUGAGACCUAUUAGUCUAACAAAAAGGAUAUCAUUCAGUCCUUUUCAGAUAUGAGACCUAUUAGUCUAACAAAAAGGAUAUCAUUCAGUCCUUUUCAGAUAUGAGACCUAUUAGUCUAACAAAAAGGAUAUCAUUCAGUCCUUUUCAGAUAUGAGACCUAUUAGUCUAACAAAAAGGAUAUCAUUCAGUCCUUUUCAGAUAUGAGACCUAUUAGUCUAACAAAAAGGAUAUCAUUCAGUCCUUUUCAGAUAUGAGACCUAUUAGUCUAACAAAAAGGAUAUCAUUCAGUCCUUUUCAGAUAUGAGACCUAUUAGUCUAACAAAAAGGAUAUCAUUCAGUCCUUUUCAGAUAUGAGACCUAUUAGUCUAAGUAAUUUCAUUAACAAGAUCCUGUCCAGAAUUACGCAUGAUAGAUUGGAAAAGAUUCUCCCAAAACUGAUUUCUACUAACCAAUCUGGAUUUGUUAAGGGCAAAAGUAUCAUUAAGAAUGUUCUAUUGGCUCAGGAUCUUGCCACCGAUAUUACUAAGAAGGGAAAGCCUGAGAAUGUGAUUAGAAAGCUGGCUAAGGCCUAUGAUAGGGUUUCUUGGUCCUUUCUUAUGAAAGUACUAAGGAAAAUGGGAUUUUGUAAUAGAGUGGUAGAUUUGAUUUGGAGAUUACUAGCAAAUAAUUACUACUUUGUGCUUCUUAAUGGUCAAUCAUAUAGGUUUUUUCAUUCAACUAGAGGAGUUAAACAAAGGGAUCCUUUAUCUCCAACAUUAUUCAUCUUUUCAGGAGAGGUCCUACAUUAUUCAUCAUUUUAGCAGAGGUCCUUUCUAAAGCUCUCAAUACUCUAUUUGAAGACCCCCAUUUUGUUUGUUAUGGAAUGCCUAAAUGGAGUGCUAAUCUCAAUCAUCUAGCUUUUGUUGAUGAUACCAUUAUUUUUACCUCUUCAAACAUAUAUUCUAUGGAAAAAUUAUGUCUAUUUUGAAGGAUUAUGAGAAGCAAUCAGGUCAAAAGAUCAAUAAGGAAAAUAUUUCUUAUUAUGUACACCAAAAUAUAUCAGCAACCUCUGCUAAUCAAGUGGAACAGAUUACAAGGAAGGUAAGAGGACAAUUCCCUAUGAUAUAUCUAGGAUACCCUAUUACACAUUCUAGAAAAAGAAAGGAGCACUAUGCAGAAUUAUUUAAUAAGAUUAAAGGUAGAUUGCAAAGUUGGAAAGGGAGAAUGCUUUCAUAUGGGGUUAAGGAAGUCCUUCUUACUAGCAUUCUUCAAAGAAUCCCUAUCUAUGUUCUUUCUUCUAUUACCCCCCCCCCCCCCCCCCCCCCCAAACUCCUCCCACACAAAUGUUAGUGUAUCGGUGUGGUACCCAUUCAAAUUGUUAGUGUAUUGAUAUGAUUCAUAGAAUAUUUGCUAAAUUCUAUUGGAGUAAUAAGGAAGAUAGCAGAAAUAAACACUGGUCUAAAUGGGUGAAUAUGUGUCUUUCUAAACAUGAGGGGGAUUUAGGAUUUAGGUCGAUGUUUGAUGUAUGAAAGGCUAUGUAUGCAAAGUUAUGGUGGAAUUUAAGAACUCAAGGUACUUUGUGGUCCAAUUCUAUGUGGACAAAGUAUUGUAAGAAACAAAUUUAUACCUUUGUUCAAUGGAAAGAAGGUUCCCAAAUCUGGAAACAUAUACUUGAGAAUAGGGAAAUGCUAGAGCAACAUAUGUGGUGGGAACCUAGAGGAGGUACUUCUACUGUUUGGUAUGAUAAUUGGUCUAACGUGGGACCCUUGUACCUACAUGCAGUUGAGGAGCAAACUUGUCACCCCAUGAAAAACGUUGAUGAAUUUCUAACUGAGGAUGGGUGGGACUAUACAACAAUGAGAGAUUUUGUCCCUGAGUAUGUUGUAGACAGAAAGUUAAAGCUAAGAUUUGUACAUGCUGUGAUUUAUAAACAUCUACAAGUACCAGUCAAAACAGAGUCAUAUUCAUUGGCAACCUCGACAAAAUAAAGUUAGUAAUCCUUUUUAUAGAUCUAAACCCAAGUGGUGGUAUCAAUUUCAUUUGUGGGAUUCAACUCACCGAGAUUAAAUCUAAGAAGAUGAGAAACUAUGCUUACCUCAGGUUUAGUAUGCAACAAGCAUUAUUGUGGUGGUCAAUUUGAGAUCAAAGCAAGUGUCAUUAAGCGGAUUACUCCGUGGGAAUCGCCUCUGUGUGGUUGUGAGCAAGAGAUAAUCGACUAUGUACGGAUGUGAUCAAGUGUUAAUCGAGAUCGACUGGUUACACCAUGGAUAGUCUUCUUCUAGCUACUAGAAAGAGCUUCCGUGCUCUUCAUUUUCCACGUUUCCUGUUCCUCUUUCCCUUUCCAUUUUCUUUCUUAUUUUGUUUGUUUCCCUUUCUGCAUUUUCUGAACAACUGUUAGGGUUUAGCACUUUUGGCUAAGCUCUCUUUUGUACUUAAGUCCUUUUAAUUUAAUACAUGUGGCCCCUUGGGUCUUGGUUUCAAAAAAAAAAAAUGCACUUCAGAAAAUAGAGAGAAGGUGUAACGAAGAUGAGACAAGUCUCAAAACUUUUAAAUAAACAACAUACAAUCUCAUUUGCUGCACCACAUCCGUUUGAUGGUCACCUCACACCAUUGAUUAGCUUCAAAUGUAGCUGUCAUAAAAAAUGAUAGUCACCCCAAAACAAAAAAUUGUGUUCAAAAUAUUUGAUGUAAAGGCCAUUUUCACAAGUAUAUCUAUCUAAAGUGGCUAACCUAGAUUUCGACAACACACCGCAAACCUAAAUACACUUUUACCUUGAUUCACUGGUGGCCAUGGCCACCACUUCCGGCCAGCCUCCUCCGGAGACUGGUCAAACCCUAGCAGAUCCAGGGCUUACAAGAAACUAUGCCGCAAUUUUACGUCCAAGCUUAGUGGAUACUAAACCAGUAAAAAUGAGACCAAUUUCAUAUCUUCACGGGGAACCAAGAAUUGUAUGGGAUGAGGAGGAAGUCACACAAAUGAUUUUACAAGGAAAAUUUACAAUAUGCUGUGAUUGGGAAGUUCUCUUAUGGAAUGCCAGAAAUCAAGGAAUUACGGAAGAUAAUCCCAAAACAAUGUGAGCUAAAAGGAGAAUGUAAUAUUGGAUUAUUGAGUACUCGACAUGUUUUGAACAGAGCUGAGAUUAUGGAGGAUUAUGUCAAAUUGCUUUCCAAGCCAGCUUUUUAUUUGACACAACGACAAUGGUCGUAUCCCAUGAGGACACUCAAAUGGGAUCCUAUGUUCGACCCGGAGGAGGAAACGACAACAACCAUAGGCAUGGAUAUACUUUCCAGGACUUCCACUAAAUUUUUUUGUGAAGGAAACGAUUUUCUCUCUCGCUGCAGCAGUUGGUAAGCCAUUACAUGUGGACAUAGCGACCAAAAAUCAGGCAAGACCUAGCUGUGCCAAGGUCAAAGUGGAGGUGGACCUCCUGGGAGAAUUCCCAAAACGAAUCAAUAUUGGGGUUAGGAAAUAGUCUGGUGAGGUGGUGGAAAAGUGGAUCAGAAUAAAAUACGAUUAUGUUCCUAAAUACUGUGUGACUUGCAGGCUACAAGGACACAACGAACAAAAAUGUUAUGCGCUACACCUGGAAUUAUAUCCAAAGAAGAAUGAAGCUAGUAUGGAGAAUGAGUUGGAGAAGCAAGAAAAUAAAGGUCACAAGGAGAUGGGACAGACAAUAACAGAGGGGGGCAAAGCUAAGGCAGGAGAGAAAGGGGAAACAAAACAAGCUAGGGAACAAUUUCAGGAACAAAGAAAUAGAAGGAAUCACACAAUUCUGAGAUAUAAUGAGCACAGAGCCAGUACACAAGUUUGGAAUCCUAAGCCAAAACUUAUGGAGAAGGAAAAAGAAGGGUGGAAGUUGAAUAAUUAGUUUGAGGCACUAAAGGAUCCAGAUCAGAUUGAGGAGACCAUAAAGGAGACAUCUAACACAAAAGUGGAAGUGUCAACAAGGAAGUGGGUGGAGGAUAACUUCACAAGCCAUGAAGCUUUGGGGAAAAGUUCAAUUGAUCAUGGACAAAGGAUAGAUGAUAAAACACAAAAUAAGCAAGGAGAGGACACAGUAUUUUUGAACAGAAAUGAAGGUAAAGAAAUUACGAUAUGGGACCCUGAGAAGGAGAGGAAUAAAGAGUCAACACCAAACCCUUUAUUCAUAGUUGAGUCAAAAUCGGGAGAUAAAAGUAUUCCAGAUAUUCAUGAGUUGACGCCAACUCAGAGGCAAAGCUAUCAGGAGGAAAGAGAAGAUGACGAUAUGGAGAUGAACAUACAGAGUGCCAGCAAGGCAGGAGACUUAUCACCUCGACAGAUGGAGGAGCUGAAAAGUGGUUCUAAGAAGAAUAUGAUUAUGCAUACUAUAAUACCACUUCAGGUAAAGACAAGGAGGAGUAAGGAGAAAGGGAAUAUCAUUACCUAAUGAUAGGACAAUUAUUAUUUUGGAACAUCAGAUCUGUUAAUUCUCAAAAAUCAUUUGAGAGAUUAAUAGAAAUAAAUAAGAGACAUCAUUUUUCAUUCAUUGCUCUUCUGGAACCUUUUCAAGAUCCAGAUGAGAUAGAGGUUUAUAAGAGGGGAUUGGGUUUUGAUAAUGCAAUGGAGAAUUCUUCAUCGAAGAUCUGGAUUUUUUGGAGGGAGUAGUGGACAGGUCAUGUCACAAGGGAUACUUAUCAACAAAUAACUUUGAAAUUUCUUUUUCACAAUAAACCAUUCUCUAUUACCUCGGUGUACGCAAGAUGUACUGAGACAGACAGAAUAGAGUUGUGGGAAGAAAUGAAGGAGCUCUCAGGUGAAAGUAGUGACCCAUGGAUAGUGGGGGUGAUUUUAAUGUUAUACUAAAUGCAAAGGAGAAGCUAGGAGGUCUCCCUUUUACUCAUUCAGAAGCUGCUGACUUUGGACAUUGUGUUAACAAUAGUGCGCUUGUGGAAUUACCAACCACAGGAAGCAAAUUUACAUGGUAGAAUGGGAGGAUAGAAGAGGGAUGUAUCUUCAAAAGGUUAGAUAGGAUUAUGGUCAACUAUGAGUUCCUGGAUAUACUGCUGAGUAGUAGUGUUCAACACCUAAUUAGACAGGGUUCAGAUCAUGCUCCCUUACUGAUGGUGUGUAGUUCUGAAGAAACAAAUGUGGUCAAACCUUUUAAAUUUCUAAAUUUCUGGACUAAACAUCCGCAAUUUUUGGAGAUAGUGAGGAAAGCAUGGUGCAUUGAUUUUGUUGGGAAUCCAUUCUUAGUAUUUAAGGCCAAAAUGAAGAAAGUAAAGGCAACAUUAGGGGAGUGGAACAAAAAAGUUUAUGGGAAAUUUUUUGAGAAAGUGGCUACACUUGAAGAUAUGAUUAGGGUUAAGGAGAUUCAGCUCAAAAUUAGCUCAACACAUGCUAAUAGGAGUGAUCUUAGUAAAGCUGAAGCGGAGCUAAAAAAAUAUGUCAACAUUUUAGAGGAAUUUUGGAGGCAAAAGGCAGGUAUGAGAUGGUUCAAGGAUGGGGAUAGGAAUACAAAAUUCUAUCAUACAUAUGUCAAAGGGAGAAGGAAAAAGCUGCAUAUAAGAGAGAUUCAAUCCAAUCAUGGAGAUGUUUUCAAGACUAAUGACCAAAUAUGAGAGGCAGUUGUUGAUUUCUUUGGGGACCAGUUUCGAGAAGCAGAUGUGAUGAAUAAUUUAGAGAUGAUCGAUAAUAUACCUUGUGUGAUCUCGGCAGAGCAGAAUGAUAAGAUGGAAGAACUACCAAGCUUGGAGGAGAUUAAAACGGUGGUUUACAAGCUGAAUGGGGAUAGCACCAGUGGGCCAGAUGGAUUUUCAGGAGCUUUUUUCCAAGUGUGUUGGGAAAUUAUUAAUGAGGAAAUUUCUAAAAUGGUCAGGGCAUUUUUUUGUGGACAGACGUUGUCCAGGUUCAUUACUCAUACAAAUCUAAUCCUGAUUUCGAAAAAAGAAAAUGUCCAUAAUUUUACUGAUUUAAGGCCAAUAAAUUUGAGUACUUUUAUCAAUAAAAUCAUCUCAAGAUUGAUACAUGAAAGAAUUGCUAAUAUCCUACCAGCACUCAUCUCCCCAAACCAAUCUGGUUUUAUUCGAGGAAGAAGCAUAACAGAAAACGUGCUCCUCGCACAAGAAAUAAUAAGAGAUAUCAAUAUGAGAAAUAAGUGGCAAAAUGUAGUGGUGAAGUUGGAUAUGGCUAAAACAUAUGAUAGGGUCUCUUGGAUAUUCCUUACGAAGGUAUUAAGGAAGUUUAGAUUUUCGGAGAGAAUGAUUGACAUGAUUUGGAGAUUAAUAUCAAAUAUUUGGUACUCAGUAUUGGUAAAUGGGCAGUCUUAUGGGUUCUUUCAGUCAUCUAGGGGCUUAAAGCAAGGAGAUCUCUUAUCACCUACUUUGUUUAUCAUAGCUGCAGAGGUAUUGGCCCGUGGACUGAAUAAAUUACAUGAAGAUGGUGAGUUUAGGGGUUAUGGCAUGCCGAAAUGGUUUCCAAACAUAAAUCACUUGUCAUAUGCGGAUGAUACCAUUUUGUUUUGCUCAGGGGAUAAGAAAUAUGUGAAAAAGAUGAUGAAGGUCCUAGCAGAUUAUGAACAAGUGUCAAGACAGAUGAUUAACAAGAACAAAUGUUUUUUCUACCUUCAUGAGAAGGCUCCUAUUAUAUCAAGACAGAGACUAAGAAGAUGGACGGGGAUACAACAAGGUCAUUUUCCAUUCACAUACCUAGGAUGUCCAAUGUUCUAUGGGAGAAAGAAGGUAUCACAUUUUGAAUGCAUCCUAGGUAAAAUCAACAAAAGAGUGAUGUGCUAGCAGAACAAGUUCUUAUCUUAUGGGGGAAGACAAAUGCUUAUUGCUCACGUACUACAAUCUAUGCAUGUUUACUUACUAUCAGCAAUGAACCCUCCUAAAGGUAUCAUAAAUAAGAUUCAUCAAAUCUUUGCAAAGGUUUUUUGGGGGAAAAUAGGAGGUUUGAAGGGUAAACAUUGGGUGGCUUGGGACGACCUGUGUUACCCACAUAAGGAAGGUAGAGUAGGAUUUAGAUCUCUUCAUGAUGUUGCUAAGGCUUUGUUUGCUAAGUUGUGGUGGAAUUUUAGAGUGGCUACCAACUCAUUGUGGGGAACUUAUAUGUGGAACAAGUAUUGCAAAAAAGAUCAUCCAAUCAUGGCCAAAGGGGAGUGGAGCAUCACAUAUUUGGAAAAUGCUGAUUCAAAUUAGGGAAGAGGUGAAACAGGAAAUUUGGUGGAAAAUAAGAGCAGGAAAAUGUAGCUUUUGGUAUGACAACUGGACACAACAAAGAGCUUUAUACUUUAUAGAGGACGGAGGCAUAGAAAGAUCAAACUUGGAGGUAAAAGAUUUUAUUGAUAUUAAUGGCUGGAAUAAAGAGAAACUUCAGAGUUUUAUCUCUGAAGACAUGACUAACUUCAUCAUUGAGAGUAUCAAACCAGAGAUUGGUUAUGAAGCAGACUGCCCUAUAUGGAUGAGCAAUACCAAUGGGGACUUCACAGUCCAAUCAGCAUUAAAGAUGUUGAGGGAAAGGAAAGAGGAAAAAUAAUGGUUGUGGAAUGUGUAGAUAAAGGGUUUACCCCUUAAAAUCAGUUUCUUCCUUUGAAGGGUGUUGAGAAAGAGAAUCUCCACAGAUGAUAAUCUGAAGAUAAUGAGGAUACAAAUUGCCUCGAGAUGUCAUUGCUGUGAAGAUUACGAACAAGAAUCGAUGGAACAUGUUUUUCUAACAUCUCCCAUAGCCCAAAAGUUAUGGAAGAAAUUUGCUUUCUGUUCAGGUUUUGAACUAGAUGGAGUGCAUUUACAACAACUUAUAAACUCAUGGUGGAAGGUCAAGAGUACUACCAAAAUACAAAAGAUCUUCAAGAUAGUACCUGCGACUCUUAUGUGGGAAUUAUGGAAGCGGAGAAAUGCUACGAGAUAUGAAAGAGAGGUGAGUUUUUUCAAACUGGUUCAACAGUGUCAAAACACAAUAAACCAGUUCAUAAAACAAACCUACCCUUGGAUUCAAUUUCCAUGGGAGGAAAUGGUUAUUUUUUUCACACAUUACAAACCUAAACUAUUUCAUAAAAGUGUGACCUGGAAGAUGCCAGAAGCAAGCUGGUUUAAGUGCAACACAGAUGGAUCAUCAAGAGGUAAUCCAGGAGUCAACACUUAUGCUUUUUGUAUAAAAGAUGAAAGGGGAGACUUGGUCUUUGCAGAAUCUCAAGAGAUAAGAACUACCACAAAUAAUAUGGCGGAGGCGACAACAGUUCAAAGAGAACUUAAUUUCUGUAUAAAAAACAAGCUCAAGAGGGUCAUAAUUGAAACAGAUUCACUAGGUAUCAAGAAAAUGAUACUUAGAGAAUGGAAAAUACCUUGGGAGAUGCUAGAAAUAAUGGACGAUGUAACACAAAUGGUGGAACAAAACAGCUUCAAAGUUCAGCAUGUAUAUAAAGUAGGUAAUCAAUUAGCAGACGCCAUUGCUAAUAGUGCACACAGUAUGUUGCAGAUACAUGAAUACUGACAAUUUGAGUAACUACCAGCAAAGUGCAGAAGGAUUCUAAACAUGGAUAAAGCACAAAUCACAAAUUUGAGAAUCAAGACAAGAAAGAUAACAGAUAUAAGCAGCCAACAUGGAUGACAGAUACAUUAAUCAAGAAGUGAAUAGUUUUGCCAGUUUUUAUAGUUACAUUACAAUUUUGUGCCACUACCAGGGAGUUAAAUUGGUGAGAAAAAAAGAGGUACCUAGUCUUGGAUAUGAGUUUACAAAGAGUUCCACCAGCAAAAGUUGAGGACCACACAUUCAGAAUCGAUUCCAAUACGCACCUUCUAGUGUCAAAGAGAACAUAUUUGAAUCUAUAGCUAUCGACGCGGUGAGAUUUAGAUAUCAAGGCAGAAAUAGGGAAGAAAACAUACUUGAGACAUGGAAGUCGAAGCACUGGAUUAAGUUCCUCUUAGACUCCAGAUGGAACUUUGAAUGGAUACAUACACCUACAAAAAAGGGAAAGAUUAGAUGCUUAAAGGAGGAGGAAGAUAAACAGGAGCAGUACCUUUUGAAGCGGUUGAAGAAGAGUAGUAUCACACACCCAUGGUUGAAUACUGCUCCAAAGAAGGCAUCAGAGAAACGGAAAAUUCACGAAAGGAAGAAGUAAGAAGGAGGAGCAGCUAGAAACAUGAAAAAAGAGAUUUUGGAAACAAAAUUUAG
rnacentral:lncRNA from 1 species